UACGUAGGCAGCAAGCGUUGUUCGGAAUUACUGGGCGUAAAGAGUGUGUAGGCGGUGCUCUAAGUCUGUUGUGAAAUCUCCCGGCUUAACCGGGAGGGUGCGGCGGAAACUGGAGUGCUUGAGGGUGGGAGAGGUAAGCGGAAUUCCUGGUGUAGCGGUGAAAUGCGUAGAUAUCAGGAGGAACACCUGUGGUGUAGACAGCUUACUGGACCACUUCUGACGCUGAGACACGAAAGCGUGGGUAGCAAACGGG
rnacentral:rRNA from 1 species